CGUAGGGUCCGAGCGUUGUCCGGAAUUAUUGGGGCGUAAAGGGCUUGUAGGCGGUUCUUCACGUCGGAAGUGAAACUCAGGGCUCAACCCUGAGCCUGCUUCCGAUACGGGAGAACUAGAGGUAUGCAGGGGGAGAACGGAAUUCCUGGUGGAGCGGUGGAAUGCGCAGAUAUCAGGAGGAACACCGGUGGCGAAGGCGGUUCUCUGGGCAUUACCUGACGCUGAGAAGCGAAAGCGUGGGGAGCAAACAGGCUU
rnacentral:rRNA from 1 species